GGCCUCUUGGUCUAGAGGUAUGAUUCUCGCUUUGGGUUCAUGAAUUCGAAAUGCGAGAGGCCCCGGGUUCGAAUCCCGGAGAGGCCC